rnacentral:rRNA from 1 species
CCCUUAGAUGUUCUGGGCCGCACGCGUGCUACACUGAGUGGAUCAGCGGGUCAGGUUACGCGAGAGCGUUUCCUAAUCUUCAAAUCCGCUCGUGAUGGGGAUUGACGGUUGCAAUUUUCCGUCAUGAACGAGGAAUACCUUGUAAGCGCGGGUCAUCAUCCCGCGCUGAAUACGUCCCUGCCCUUUGUACACACCGCCCGUCGCUCCUACCGAUUGAGUGGUCCGGUGAGGCUUUGGGAUCUAAGCGAAAAGAGCGUUUCGCUCCUUUUGCUGGGAGAACUCAGUCGAACCUUAUCAUUUAGAGGAAGGAGAGGUCGUAACA